CUCUCCUGCUCUUUAGUUGCUCCAUCUAAUCAAAUUCUUUCUUUCUUCCCUGUUUAUUUGCUCUGCAUAGGUAUAUAGUUUUUUUUUCCUUCUGGUUUAGAUAUUUGUUUGUGUUCCUGGGUGGGUUGGUGAGGGUUAAAUCGGGAACAAAUGGCGCAGCGGUCAGUUCCGGCGCCGUUUUUGACGAAAACGUAUCAGUUGGUGGAUGAUCCGGGCACUGAUGAUGUGAUUUCCUGGAAUGAA
rnacentral:misc_RNA from 1 species